rnacentral:rRNA from 1 species
UACGUAGGGUGCAAGCGUUACUCGGAAUUACUGGGCGUAAAGCGUGCGUAGGUGGUGAGUUAAGUCUGUCGUGAAAGCCCCGGGCUCAACCUGGGAAUUGCGAUGGAGACUGCAAGGCUUGAAUCUGGCAGAGGGGGGUAGAAUUCCACGUGUAGCAGUGAAAUGCGUAGAGAUGUGGAGGAACACCGAUGGCGAAGGCAGCCCCCUGGGUCAAGAUUGACGCUCAUGCACGAAAGCGUGGGGAGCAAACAGG